rnacentral:lncRNA from 1 species
GCUGAUUUGGGCAGUUCAGAAUAUCACAUUAUUUCAUGAAAAACGUUGUCAUUUUGUUCAAGAGCUUUUUUUCAUUGAAUUUUAAUAUUGCUAAGCCUUUCGUCAGUUUCAGUUUCUUGAAAAUUUGUUGUGUUAUGCCAAGUUGGUUACUUUUAAACCGAAAUUCAAAAACCGAUACCCUACACGAGGGGGAAAGGGGGCAAUAGGGGUUCCGUUAACAUGUUAACAACACCUAACAAAAAAUGCAAAAAUGCUGAUAACAGUUAACAAAGUGGGUUGAAAAAGUUAACAGCUUAAAAUGAUCUCAGAUAAAGUUAACAACACCUUGGAAAGGGUCAUAACAGGUUAACAUAAAAAUGUAUUGCCCCCCCCCACCCCCCCUAAAACGUAUUGUCCGUACGGCGGUUUUGACAAUUUGACAAGAUCAAAUGCCCAAGCAUUAAACGAAUGGAUAACAACUCCUGACUUCGUACAGACACCACCUUAUGUAGAAAACAGUGGAUUUAACCUGGUUUUAUAGCUAGCCAAACCUUUCACUGCUAUGACAGUCGCUUAAAAUUCCAUUAUAUUGACAACGAUGUGUGACCUAUACAAACACACAUAAUAGUUAAAAAUUUCAAAAAUAAGGGUACAGCAGUCAACAUUGUUUUAUCUUAAUCACCAACAAACAUACACAAUAGGUAAAAAUGUCAAAAAUAGUGGUACAACAGUCAACAUUGUGUGAUAAUCUUAAUCACUAUAAAAAUAAACAAAUAUAUGUCAACAAAAACACAAAAAAGCAUAUAGACAAAGCACGUUCGCAAAAAUGAAAG